rnacentral:rRNA from 1 species
UACGUAGGAGGCAAGCGUUGUCCGGAUUUACUGGGCGUAAAGAGCGUGUAGGCGGUUCGUUAAGUCCGCUGUGAAAUCUCCUGGCUCAACCAGGAAAAGUCGGUGGAAACUAGCGAACUUGAGGACGGUAGAGGGGGUGGAAUUCCCGGUGUAGUGGUGAAAUGCGUAGAGAUCGGGAGGAACACCAGCGGCGGAAGGCGGCCCCCUGGGCCGCUCCUGACGCUGAGACGCGAAGGCCAGGGUAGCGAACGGGA